UCUGGUUGAUCCUGCCAGUAGCAUAUGCUUGUCUCAAAGAUUAAGCCAUGCAUGUCUAAGUACAAGCCGAAAUAAGGUGAAACCGCGAAUGGCUCAUUAAAUCACACCUAAUCUACUGGAAUGUUAGUGGUUACUUGGAUAACUGAGGUAAUUCUUGAGCUAAUACAUGCGAAAAAUCUCGACUCACGGAGAGAUGCUUUUAUUAGAUCGAAACCAAACGGCUUCGGCUGUUUAACUUUGAUGACUCUGAAUAACUUUGGGCUGAUUGUAUUGCCUUGUGCAGACAACGUUUCCUUCGAAGGUGUGCCCUAUCAACUGUCGACUGUGAUAUAGACGCUCACAGUGGUUUUGACGGGUAACGGGGAAUCAGGGUUCGAUUCCGGAGAGGGAGCCUUAAAAACGGCUACCACAUCCAAGGAAGGCAGCAGGCACGCAAAUUACCCAAUGGUCGAAGACCGAGGUAGUGACGAAAAAUAACAAUACAAGACUCUUCCGAGGCCUUGUAAUUGGAAUGAGUACGCUUUAAAACCGUUCCCGAGGAUCUAUUGGAGGGCAAGUCUGGUGCCAGCAGCCGCGGUAAUUCCAGCUCCAAUAGCGUAUAUUAAAGUUGUUGUGGUUAAAAAGCUCGUAGUUGGAUUUCGGCGGGUAGUGGUCGGUUUGAAUUGCUUCAACACUGGCUUUUUUACCCGUGUGUUUUGCAGAAUUUAACGGGUGAUCUUCGCCGAUUGUCCGUUAGAACUGGCAGGUUUACUUUGAGAAAAUUAGAGUGCUCAAAGCAAGCUUGAUUGCUUGAAUAUUCGUGCAUGGAAUAAUAGAAUAGGAAGUCGUUUCUAUUUUGUUAGUUUUCGGAAAUCGACUUAAUGAUUAAUAGGGAUAGUCGGGGGCAUUUGUAUUCAAACGACAGAGGUGAAAUUCUUGUACCGUUUGAAGACAAACUACUGCGAAAGCAUUUGCCAAGAAUGUUUUCAUUAAUCAAGAACGAAAGUUAGAGGUUCGAAGGCGAUUAGAUACCGCCCUAGUUCUAACCAUAAACGAUGCCAGCUAGCGAUCUGCCGGUGCUUGAUUUUCUGGCCCGGCAGGCAGCUUCCGGGAAACCAAAGCUUGUGGGUUCCAGGGGAAGUAUGGUUGCAAAGCUGAAACUUAAAGGAAUUGACGGAAGGGCACCACCAGGAGUGGAGCCUGUGGCUUAAUUUGACAACACGGGAAAUCUCACCAGGCCCGGACACCAGAAGGAUUGACAGAUUGAUAGCUCUUUCUUGAUUUGGUGGGUGGUGGUGCAUGGCCGUUCUUAGUUGGUGGAGUGAUUUGUCUGGUUAAUUCCGAUAACGAACGAGACUCUGUCCUGUUAAAUAGAUCCAACCUAGUC
rnacentral:rRNA from 1 species